AGCAAUGGAACAAAAGAAUUCAUCUGAUGAAGCUGCGAAACUUCCAGGUGUGAGAAGGAAUGCUUUCUGUAUCUGAAACUGAGGAACAGCUAACCCCUUCUCUUCAUUUGUCUGGAAUGUACUGAAAUAUAUCCUAGAGUGUGGAAUGUAUCCUAGAGUUUUGGAUGAGAAGGAGCAAAGGUCAGCCCACCCGAAGUGCGUGUACACAGUGAUCUCAUAGAGGAACAAGCCAUAAAACCAUGAAAUGUACAGCAGACUGAGGAGAUGUCAAGUGGAUUAUUACUUUGACAGACUCAGGAGACCAAAGCACAGGUGCAGCCUAACAGCAGCUGAUAAAGCAAGUGCUGACUGCUUAGUGAGAGUUCCCAAAGCCUGGAACUGCUCAUGCUCCAACCAGACCAUGCGCUGGGCAGGAGCUGCUCCUUCCAAGGAAAAGGAUAGGCUAAAACCCUCCUGGAUGGUGGAUAACCCUGCUAAUCCAAACACUCUUUCCAUCCUUGAGAAGCUGUGUGAUUUCCACCAGAGCUGCUUAAUUCCUGGUAUGACUGAGCAUUCCCAAUGGAGAUUUGGAAGGGCUGAGGACAGCAUCCCGUAUGACAGCAGCCUUUGUGGACCUUACCCAUCAGAAAUGGAAAACCUGUGCUCCUGUGAGCACAGAGAGGACUGGGGAGAGAGAAAGGUGCCGUGGUUUUUUUGGUUUGUUUGUUUCUAUCAGUAGGGAUAAAGGAGUUGGUGUGUUACAUGUGCAGCACCACCCUGGCACCUGCUGCCAGAGGAAGGUGAUGUCUGCUGAGCCCAUUCCUGCACACGUUUUUCCUACUUCCCCUUGUAGGAGCUGGUUGAAUUUGUCAAAUAAAGGAGCAAGACACUGAGA